UGCGUAGGCGGCUUGGAAGGUGAGAUGUGAAAUCCCACGGCUCAACCGUGGAAUUGCGUUUCAAACCCCCAAGCUCGAGGAAGAUAGGGGUGAUGGGAACUUAUGGUGGAGCGGUGAAAUGCGUUGAUAUCAUAGGGAACACCGGUGGCGAAAGCGCAUCACUGGAUCUUUUCUGACGCUGAGGCGCGAAAGCUAGGGUAGCGAACAGGAUUAGAUACCCUGGUAGUCC
rnacentral:rRNA from 1 species